GCUUUAUAUUGCCAUUCGAGGUCUGCUAUUGAAGUACAAUUUCACACUGGAAAAUAGUAAACAGAUGUUUUUGGACUGCUUAUGUGCUUUGGUUAUUGAUGAAUCUUAAGCGAUUUCAGAUACUGCCCAGGACUUCAUGGAAUAUUUAUUCUCCGCCUCUGGGAAACAUCAUGUAGAACACGACGUUGCUGUGAUUUUUGGCAGGCUUAUUGAAAAACUUCCAAAGUUUGUGCUCGGGAGUAAUGAGUCACUUGCACUUUCACAUGUUCGGCAAUUGCUUAUAGUGAUAUAUUAUUCUGGUCCUCAGU